rnacentral:misc_RNA from 1 species
CUUACGAUGAGUGUCCACACAGAUUGAUGGUUUAGAUUUAGUUAAAGCCAGAGCUUUAAUUAAUAACGUAAGUUAUUGAUUAAAGCUUUUUGCUUUAUGCUCUUUAACAAUUUGGAAAGCUGACUGAUUGAUUACUUCAUUAGAUAAACACAACAAACACAUUCAAGUGUCUUGUAUUCGAAUCAAACUUUAGUUUGAUUCACAAUUGAGUCCGGCAAACAGUUAUCAGGAAUUAACCCUUCUUGAUGACAACCAAAAACCUUGGUUAGUUGCCAUACGCUUAUUUGUCUUCACUUUUUAAAGUGAAAGUAAAUAGAAACCCUUUCGG